rnacentral:rRNA from 1 species
UACGGAGGGUGCAAGCGUUGUUCGGAAUCACUGGGCGUAAAGCGCGUGUAGGCGGCUUCGUAAGUCUGGUGUGAAAGCCCGGGGCUCACCCCCGGAAGUGCACUGGAAACUGCAAGGCUCGAGUACCGGAGAGGAGGGUGGAAUUCCUGGUGUAGCGGUGAAAUGCGUAGAGAUCAGGAGGAACACUAGUGGCGAAGGCGGCCACCUGGCCAAAGACUGACGCUGAGGCACGAAAGCGUGGGGAGCAAACAGG